UGGCGGUGCGCCUUAUGCAUGCAGUCGAGCGAAGCUUUUCAGUAGUUUACUACAGAAAAUGACUGAGCGGCGAACGGGUGAGUAACGCGUGAGCAAUCUACCUUAGUUACAGGGAUAGCCCGAGGAAACUCGGAUUAAUACCUGAUAUUCUUUUUAUCUCGCAUGAGAUUUUAAGGAAAGGUCAGCCGAACUAAGAUGAGCUCGCGUUCUAUCAGCUAGUUGGUGAGGUAAUAGCUCACCAAGGCUACGACGGAUAGCUGGUCUGAGAGGACGAUCAGCCACACUGGGACUGAGACACGGCCCAGACUCCUACGGGAGGCUGCAGCAGGGAAUAUUGCGCAAUGAGCGAAAGCUUGACGCAGCGACACCGCGUGUGGGAUGACGGAUCUAGGUUUGUAAACCACUUUCAGGAGGGAAGAAAAUGACGGUACCUCCACAAGAAGCCCCGGCCAACUACGUGCCAGCAGCCGCGGUAAUACGUAGGGGGCGAGCGUUGUCCGGAUUUAUUGGGCGUAAAGAGCUCGUAGGCGGUUCAACAAGUCGGUCGUGAAAGUUCAGGGCUCAACCCUGAAAUGUCGAUCGAUACUGUUGUGACUAGGAUAC
rnacentral:rRNA from 1 species